rnacentral:misc_RNA from 1 species
GAUGAAGAACGUAGCGAAAUGCGAUAAGUAAUGCGAAUUGCAGAAUUUCCGUGAGUCAUCGAAUCUUUGAACGCACAUUGCGCCCAUUGGUAUUCCGAUGGGCAUGCCUGUUCGAGCGUCAUUGCUGCCCUCAAGCACGGCUUGUGUGUUGGGCCCCGUCCUCCGAUCCCGGGGGACGGGCCCGAAAGGCAGCGGCGGCACCGCGUCCGGUCCUCGAGCGUAUGGGGCUUUGUCACCCGCUCUGUAGGCCCGGCCGGCGCUUGCCGAUCAACCCAAAUUUUUAUCCAGGUUGACCUCGGAUCAGGUAGGGAUACCCGCUGAACUUAAGCAUAUCAAUAAGCGGAGGA